rnacentral:rRNA from 1 species
AGAAUGAACGCUGGCGGCGCGCCUAAUACAUGCAAGUCGAGCGAGAAGACGUAGCAAUACGUAUGUAAAGCGGCGAACGGGUGAGGAAUACAUGGGUAACCUACCCUCGAGUGGGGAAUAACUAGCCGAAAGGUUAGCUAAUACCGCGUACGCUCCUUGGACUUCGGUUCAGGGAGGAAAGCGAUACCGUGGUAUCGCGCUCUUGGUUGGGCUCAUGUCCUAUCAGCUUGUGGUGAGUAACGCUCACAGGCUUCGACGGUAGCUGGUCUGAGAGGACGACUCAGCCACACGUGGCACGUGCGGACUACGGGCCAGACCUCCGUACGGGAGCAAGCAAGGUAAGGUAAUAUUGCGACGUAAGUCGGGACGAAACGCCGUGACGCAGGCGACGGCCGGCGGUGGGGGAUGGAACGGUU